CUUCUGAGGAGUCCCACAAUAGGACGAAACGGCCGUCCAG
rnacentral:hammerhead_ribozyme from 1 species